UACAGAGGGUGCAAGCGUUAAUCGGAGUUACUGGGCGUAAAGGGCGCGUAGGCUGAUGUUUAAGUUAAUUGUGAAAUCCCUGGGCUUAACCUAGGAAUUGCAGUUAAUACUGGACAUCUAGAGUAUGGUAGAGGAAAGUGGAAUUCUCGGUGUAGUGGUUAAAUACGUAGAUAUCGAGAAGAACACCGGUGGCGAAGGCGACUUUCUGGACCAAUACUGACGCUGAGGCGCGAAAGCGUGGGGAGCAAACAGG
rnacentral:rRNA from 1 species